rnacentral:tRNA from 1 species
GGGCCUGUAGCUCAAUCUGGCUAGAGCACUUCAUUCGCAUUGAAGAGGUUGCGGGUUCGAUUCCCGCCAGGUCCA